rnacentral:rRNA from 1 species
GACGAACGCUGGCGGCGUGCUUAACACAUGCAAGUCGAACGGUGAAGGGAUCGGCUUGCUGGUUCUGGAUGAGUGGCGAACGGGUGAGUAACACGUGAGUAACCUGCCCCCUUCUUCUGGAUAACCGCAUGAAAGUGUGGCUAAUACGGGAUAUUCUGCGCCUGCUGCAUGGUGGGUGUGGGAAAGAUAUUGUUUCGGUGGGGGAUGGGCUCGCGGCCUAUCAGCUUGUUGGUGGGGUGAUGGCCUACCAAGGCGGUGACGGGUAGCCGGCCUGAGAGGGUGGACGGUCACACUGGGACUGAGACACGGCCCAGACUCCUACGGGAGGCAGCAGUGGGGAAUAUUGCACAAUGGGCGCAAGCCUGAUGCAGCGACGCCGCGUAAGGGAUGGAGGCCUUCGGGUUGUGAACCUCUUUCGCCAGUGAAGCAGGCCUGUCCCUUGUGGGUGGGUUGACGGUAGCUGGAGAAGAAGCGCCGGCUAACUACGUG